rnacentral:tRNA from 1 species
GCCGAAGUGGCGGAAUCGGUAGACGCGGCGGAUUCAAAAUCCGUUGGGCUUAUGCUUGUGAGGGUUCGAGUCCCUCCUUCGGCACCG